rnacentral:rRNA from 1 species
UAGGUGGAUACGUAGAGAAUACGAAGGCGAUCGAGAUAACUCUGGUUAAGGAACUCGGCAAAAUACCCCCGUAACUUCGGGAGAAGGGGGGCCUCAGUAGAGUGAAGGGACUUGCUCCCAGAGCUCGAGAAGGCCGCAGUGACCAGGGGGAAGCGACUGUUUACCAAAAACACAGGUGCGUGCUAAGUCGCAAGACGAUGUAUACGCACUGACGCCUGCCCGGUGCUGGAAGGUUACGAGGAGGGGUUAGCCGUAAGGCGAAGCUCUGAAUCUAAGCCCCAGUAAAUGGCGGCCGUAACUAAACGGUCCUAAGGUAGCGAAAUUCCUUGUCGGGUAAGUUCCGACCUGCACGAAUGGCGUAACGACUUCCCUACUGUCUCAACCAGAGACUCGGCGAAAUUGCAAUACGAGUAAAGAUGCUCGUUACCAGUAGAAGGACGGAUAGACCCCGUGGACCUUUACUGCAGUUUGAUGUUGGUUUUCGGUACGUUUUGUGUAGGAUAGGUGGGAGCCUUGGAGGCUUGGGCGUCAGCUCAGGUGGAGGCAAUCUUGAAAUACCACCCUUUGCGUGCUGGAAAUCUAACCCAGGCCCGUUAUCCGGGUCGGGGACAGCGUCAGGUAGGCAGUUUGACUGGGGCGGUCGCCUCCUAAAGAGUAACGGAGGCGCCCAAAGGUUCCCUCAGCCUGGUUGGCAAUCAGGCGUUGAGUGUAAAGGCGCAAGGGAGCUUAACUGCGAGACUGACACGUCAAGCAGGUGCGAAAGCAGGGCUUAGUGACCCGGCCGUGGCAUGUGGAAGCGCGGUCGAUCAACGGAUAAAAGGUACCCCGGGGAUAACAGGCUAAUCUUGCCCAAGAGUUCACAUCGACGGCAUGGUUUGGCACCUCGAUGUCGGCUCGUCGCAUCCUGGAGCUGAAGCAGGUUCCAAGGGUUGGGCUGUUCGCCCAUUAAAGCGGUACGCGAGCUGGGUUCAGAACGUCGUGAGACAGUUCGGUCCCUAUCCUCUAUUGGCGCAGGAAACUUGAGAGAAGCUAUCCCUAGUACGAGAGGACCGGGAUGGACGUAGCUCUCGUGUGCCAGUUGUUCCGCCAGGAGCAUUGCUGGUUGGCGACCUACGGAAGAGAUAAGCGCUGAAAGCAUCUAAGCGCGAAACUCGUCUCGAGAUGAGGUUUCCCACUACAUAAGUAGGUAAGGCCCCUGGAAGACGACCAGGUAGAUAGGCCGGAGGUGUAAG